AAAAAAGGUAAGCUACUAAGAGCGAAUGGUGGAUGCCUUGACUGGUAAAGGCGAUGAAGGACGUACUAGACUGCGAUAAGCUACGGGGAGCUGUCAAGAAGCUUUGAUCCGUAGAUUUCCGAAUGGGGCAACCCAAUGUAUAGAGAUAUACAUUACCUAUAUAGGAGCGAACGAGGGGAAUUGAAACAUCUUAGUACCCUCAGGAAAAGAAAUCAAUAGAGAUUGCGUCAGUAGCGGCGAGCGAAAGCGCAAGAGGGCAAACCCAGUGCUUGCACUGGGGGUUGUAGGACUGCAAUGUGCAAGAGGUGAGUUUAGCAGAACAUUCUGGAAAGUAUAGCCAUAGAGGGUGAUAGUCCCGUAUGCGAAAAACAAACCUUAGCUAGCAGUAUCCUGAGUAGGGCGGGACACGAGAAAUCCUGUCUGAAGCUGGGUCGACCACGAUCCAACCCUAAAUACUAAUACCAGAUCGAUAGUGCACAAGUACCGUGAGGGAAAGGUGAAAAGAACUGAGGUGAUCAGAGUGAAAUAGAACCUGAAACCAUUUGCUUACAAUCAUUCAGAGCCCUAUGUAGCAAUACAGGGUGAUGGACUGCCUUUUGCAUAAUGAGCCUGCGAGUUGUGGUGUCUGGCAAGGUUAAGCAAACGCGAAGCCGUAGCGAAAGCGAGUCUGAAUAGGGCGCUUAGUCAGAUGCUGCAGACCCGAAACGAAGUGAUCUAUCCAUGAGCAAGUUGAAGCUAGUGUAAGAACUAGUGGAGGACUGAACCCAUAGGCGUUGAAAAGCCCCGGGAUGACUUGUGGAUAGGGGUGAAAGGCCAAUCAAACUUCGUGAUAGCUGGUUCUCUCCGAAAUAUAUUUAGGUAUAGCGUUGUGUCGUAAUAUAAGGGGGUAGAGCACUGAAUGGGCUAGGGCAUACACCAAUGUACCAAACCCUAUCAAACUCCGAAUACCUUAUAUGUAAUCACAGCAGUCAGGCGGCGAGUGAUAAAAUCCGUCGUCAAGAGGGAAACAACCCAGACUACCAGCUAAGGUCCCUAAAUCUUACUUAAGUGGAAAACGAUGUGAAGUUACUUAAACAACCAGGAGGUUGGCUUAGAAGCAGCCAUCCUUUAAAGAAAGCGUAAUAGCUCACUGGUCUAGUGAUUUUGCGCGGAAAAUAUAACGGGGCUAAAGUAAGUACCGAAGCUGUAGACUUGCGCACAACUUAGAUUAUUUAAGUUUAGAAUAUGAGAAACUAAGUUAUAUGUUUAGUUAUAUUUUUACUGAUUUUUAUAGAGUAAAGAUAGAAAUAAAACUUAGUAAAAUCAGUAAAAAUAUUCUUAGACUAAAGUUAAGUAGUUUAAGUUGUGUGCAAGUGGUAGGAGAGCGUUCUAUUUGCGUCGAAGGUAUACCGGUAAGGAGUGCUGGAGCGAAUAGAAGUGAGCAUGCAGGCAUGAGUAGCGAUAAUUAAUGUGAGAAUCAUUAACGCCGUAAACCCAAGGUUUCCUACGCGAUGCUCGUCAUCGUAGGGUUAGUCGGGUCCUAAGUCGAGUCCGAAAGGGGUAGACGAUGGCAAAUUGGUUAAUAUUCCAAUACCAACAUUAGUGUGCGAUGGAAGGACGCUUAGGGCUAAGGGGGCUAGCGGAUGGAAGUGCUAGUCUAAGGUCGUAGGAGGUUAUACAGGCAAAUCCGUAUAACAAUACUCCGAGAACUGAAAGGCUUUUUGAAGUCUUCGGAUGGAUAGAAGAACCCCUGAUGCCGUCGAGCCAAGAAAAGUUUCUAAGUUUAGCUAAUGUUG
rnacentral:rRNA from 1 species